UAACCCGAGCUUGCUCCCUGAUGUUAGCGGCGGACGGGUGAGUAACACGUGGGUAACCUGCCUGUAAGUCUGGGAUAACUCCGGGAAACCGGGGCUAAUACCGGAUGGUUGUUUGAACCGCAUGGUUCAGACAUAAAAGGUGGCUUCGGCUACCACUUACAGAUGGACCCGCGGCGCAUUAGCUAGUUGGUGAGGUAACGGCUCACCAAGGCGACGAUGCGUAGCCGACCUGAGAGGGUGAUCGGCCACACUGGGACUGAGACACGGCCCAGACUCCUACGGGAGGCAGCAGUAGGGAAUCUUCCGCAAUGGACGAAAGUCUGACGGAGCAACGCCGCGUGAGUGAUGAAGGUUUUCGGAUCGUAAAGCUCUGUUGUUAGGGAAGAACAAGUGCCGUUCAAAUAGGGCGGCACCUUGACGGUACCUAACCAGAAAGCCACGGCUAACUACGUGCCAGCAGCCGCGGUAAUACGUAGGUGGCAAGCGUUGUCCGGAAUUAUUGGGCGUAAAGGGCUCGCAGGCGGUUUCUUAAGUCUGAUGUGAAAGCCCCCGGCUCAACCGGGGAGGGUCAUUGGAAACUGGGGAACUUGAGUGCAGAAGAGGAGAGUGGAAUUCCACGUGUAGCGGUGAAAUGCGUAGAGAUGUGGAGGAACACCAGUGGCGAAGGCGACUCUCUGGUCUGUAACUGACGCUGAGGAGCGAAAGCGUGGGGAGCGAACAGGAUUAGAUACCCCGGUAGUCCACGCCGUAAACGAUGAGUGCUAAGUGUUAGGGGGUUUCCGCCCCUUAGUGCUGCAGCUAACGCAUUAAGCACUCCGCCUGGGGAGUACGGUCGCAAGACUGAAACUCAAAGGAAUUGACGGGGGCCCGCACAAGCGGUGGAGCAUGUGGUUUAAUUCGAAGCAACGCGAAGAACCCUUACCAGGUCUUGACAUCCUCUGACAAUCCUAGAGAUAGGACGUCCCCUUUCGGGGGCAGAGUGACAGUGAUGCAUGGUUGUCGUCAGCUCGUGUCGUGAGAUGUUGGGUUAAGUCCCGCAACGAGCGCAACCCUUGAUCUAGUGCAGCAUCGGGUA
rnacentral:rRNA from 1 species